UGCCAGCCGCCGCGGUAAUACGGAGGGUGCAAGCGUUAUCCGGAUUUAUUGGGUUUAAAGGGUCCGUAGGCGGGAUAAUAAGUCAGUGGUGAAAGCCCACAGCUCAACUGUGGAACUGCCAUUGAAACUGUUAUUCUUGAAUCUAGUUGAAGUGAACGGAAUGUAACAUGUAGCGGUGAAAUGCAUAGAUAUGUUACAGAACACCAAUUGCGAAGGCAGUUCACUAAGCUAGUAUUGACGCUGAGGGACGAAAGCGUGGGUAGCGAACAGGAUUAGAUA
rnacentral:rRNA from 1 species